rnacentral:sRNA from 1 species
UUUUUUUUUGGUUUUAUU